AUUGAACGCUGGCGGCAGGCCUAACACAUGCAAGUCGAGCGGGGUUUUCGGACCUAGCGGCGGACGGGUGAGUAAUGCGUAGGAAGCUGCCCGAUAGAGGGGGAUACCAGUUGGAAACGACUGUUAAUACCGCAUAAUGUCUACGGACCAAAGUGUGGGACCUUCGGGCCACAUGCUAUCGGAUGCGCCUACGUGGGAUUAGCUAGUUGGUGAGGUAAUGGCUCACCAAGGCGACGAUCACUAGCUGGUUCGAGAGGAUGAUCAGCCACACUGGAACUGAGACACGGUCCAGACUCCUACGGGAGGCAGCAGUGGGGAAUAUUGGACAAUGGGCGCAAGCCUGAUCCAGCCAUGCCGCGUGUGUGAAGAAGGCCUUCGGGUUGUAAAGCACUUUCAGCGAGGAGGAAGGGUGGUGUGUUAAUAGCACAUCAUUUUGACAUUACUCGCAGAAGAAGCACCGGCUAACUCUGUGCCAGCAGCCGCAGUAAAAC
rnacentral:rRNA from 1 species